UGGGGAAUAUUGCACAAUGGGCGCAAGCCUGAUGCAGCCAUGCCGCGUGUAUGAAGAAGGCCUUCGGGUUGUAAAGUACUUUCAGCGGGGAGGAAGGGAGUAAAGUUAAUACCUUUGCUCAUUGACGUUACCCGCAGAAGAAGCACCGGCUAACUCCGUGCCAGCAGCCGCGGUAAUACGGAGGGUGCAAGCGUUAAUCGGAAUUACUGGGCGUAAAGCGCACGCAGGCGGUUUGUUAAGUCAGAUGUGAAAUCCCCGGGCUCAACCUGGGAACUGCAUUCGAAACUGGCAGGCUAGAGUCUUGUAGAGGGGGGUAGAAUUCCAGGUGUAGCGGUGAAAGGCGUAGAGAUCUGGAGGAAUACCGGUGGCGAAGGCGGCCCCCUGGACAAAGACUGACGCUCAGGUGCGAAAGCGUGGGGAGCAAACAGG
rnacentral:rRNA from 1 species